rnacentral:lncRNA from 1 species
UCUUACACUGGGUUUACUUCAUUAUGCACAAUAUUCGAUUAAUUCAAUAAGUAGAAGACUAUGUGCUCGAAUCGACAAAGCUGUACAAAUUAAAGAUACUACUGAUAUUGAACUUGAAAAAACACUUAAGUCUAUUGGCGUUCUACAAAGAGAGGUUAUUCAAUCUUGGAUUGCA